rnacentral:lncRNA from 1 species
AAUUUUGACUAAAUCUCAACCGUUCAUGAUUCAAUGGCCAUGAUUGUGCCACGUGGCAAUGGUUGGUGAAGCAAGUUGGAGGAUCCGAAUCUUUGUAUUCGGGUCGACCCGAUCCACCCAUUAACCCGCCAAAUCUCAACCGUUCUUUGGGCAAAUCGGACGAGUCAAACGAUGCCACGUGUGAGGUUGACUUUUGAAGUUUGACCAGCUAUUGGAUCUUGAUCUAAAGGUUGUG